rnacentral:rRNA from 1 species
CCGGACCAAGGCGCCCGCCGGAGGACCAACCAAAACUCUUUUUGUAUACCCCCUCGCGGGUUUUUUAUAAUCUGAGCCUUCUCGGCGCCUCUCGUAGGCGUUUCGAAAAUGAAUCAAAACUUUCAACAACGGAUCUCUUGGUUCUGGCAUCGAUGAAGAACGCAGCGAAAUGCGAUAAGUAAUGUGAAUUGCAGAAUUCAGUGAAUCAUCGAAUCUUUGAACGCACAUUGCGCCCGCCAGUAUUCUGGCGGGCAUGCCUGUCCGAGCGUCAUUUCAACCCUCGAACCCCUCCGGGGGGUCGGCGUUGGGGAUCGGCCCUGCCUCUUGGCGGUGGCCGUCUCCGAAAUACAGUGGCGGUCUCGCCGCAGCCUCUCCUGCGCAGUAGUUUGCACACUCGCAUCGGGAGCGCGGCGCGUCCACAGCCGUUAAACACCCAACUUCUGAAAUGUUGACCUCGGAUCAGGUAGGAAUACCCGCUGAACUUAAGCAUAUCAAUAA